rnacentral:rRNA from 1 species
GAUGAACGCUGGCGGCGUGCCUAAUACAUGCAAGUCGAGCGAACAGACGAGGAGCUUGCUCCUCUGACGUUAGCGGCGGACGGGUGAGUAACACGUGGAUUACCUACCUAUAAGACUGGGAUAACUUCGGGAAACCGGAGCUAAUACCGGAUAAUAUAUUGAACCGCAUGGUUCAAUAGUGAAAGACGGUUUUGCUGUCACUUAUAGAUGGAUCCGCGCCGCAUUAGCUAGUUGGUAAGGUAACGGCUUACCAAGGCGACGAUGCGUAGCCGACCUGAGAGGGUGAUCGGCCACACUGGAACUGAGACACGGUCCAGACUCCUACGGGAGGCAGCAGUAGGGAAUCUUCCGCAAUGGGCGAAAGCCUGACGGAGCAACGCCGCGUGAGUGAUGAAGGUCUUCGGAUCGUAAAACUCUGUUAUUAGGGAAGAACAAAUGUGUAAGUAACUAUGCACGUCUUGACGGUACCUAAUCAGAAAGCCACGGCUAACUACGUG